AGUCGAACGAUGAAGCCAGCUUGCUGGGCGGANUAGUGGCAUACGGGUGCGUAACACGUGAGCAACCUGCCUUGAAGUGGGGAAUAGCGCGGGGAAACCCGGAUUAUACCGCAUGUGGUCUCUUUUCGCAUGAAAAGACGACUAAAGUAUGUAAUGACUCUUCAAGAGGGGCUCGCGGCCUAUCAGCUUGUUGGUGAGGUAAAGGCUCACCAAGGCAAAGACGGGUAGCUGGUCUGAGAGGAUGAUCAGCCACACUGGAACUGAGAUACGGUCCAGACACCUACGGGUGGCAGCAGUUUCGAAUCAUUCACAAUGGGGGAAACCCUGAUGGUGCAACGCCGCGUGGAGGAUGACGGCCUUCGGGUUGUAAACUCCUGUCACCAAGGAACAAACGGCAGGUUCAUAGCCUGUCCUGAGUUAACUUGGAGAGGAAGAGGUGGCUAACUCCGUGCCAGCAGCCGCGGUAAUACGGAGACCUCGAGCGUUACUCGGAUCCACUGGGCGUAAAGAGUAUGUAGGCUGUAUGGUAUGUCAGGUGUGAAAGCCCGAAGCUCAACUUCGGAAUUGCGCCUGAAACUACCGGACUUGAGGCCU
rnacentral:rRNA from 1 species